UAGUGGCGAACGGGUGAGUAACACGUGGGCAAUCUGCCCUGCACUCUGGCCACAAGCCCUGGAAACGGGGUCUAAUACCGGAUAAUACUGUGCCCCUCAUGGGGGACGGUUAAAAGCUCCGGCGGUGCAGGAUGAGCCCGCGGCCUAUCAGCUUGUUGGUGGGGUAAUGGCCUACCAAGGCGACGACGGGUAGCCGGCCUGAGAGGGCGACCGGCCACACUGGGACUGAGACACGGCCCAGACUCCUACGGGAGGCAGCAGUGGGGAAUAUUGCACAAUGGGCGAAAGCCUGAUGCAGCGACGCCGCGUGAGGGAUGACGGCCUUCGGGUUGUAAACCUCUUUCAGCAGGGAAGAAGCGAAAGUGACGGUACCUGCAGAAGAAGCGCCGGCUAACUACGUGCCAGCAGCCGCGGUAAUACGUAGGGCGCAAGCGUUGUCCGGAAUUAUUGGGCGUAAAGAGCUCGUAGGCGGUUUGUCACGUCCGGGUGUGAAAGCCCGGGGCUUAACCCCC
rnacentral:rRNA from 1 species